UAGGGAAUUUUGCGCAAUGGGCGAAAGCCUGACGCAGCGACGCCGCGUGAGUGAAGAAGGCCUUCGGGUUGUAAAGCUCUGUCAGAUGGGACGAAUAAGUGGGCUUAAAUAAGGCUACACGAUGACGGUACCAUCAGAGGAAGCACCGGCUAACUCUGUGCCAGCAGCCGCGGUAAUACAGAGGGUGCAAGCGUUAUUCGGAAUCACUGGGCGUAAAGAGCAUGUAGGCGGCGCACCAAGUCAGGUGUGAAAUCUCGGGGCUUAACCUCGAAAUUGCAUUUGAAACUGGCGCGCUUGAGAAAGGGAGAGGAAUGUGGAAUUCCUGGUGUAGAGGUGAAAUUCGUAGAUAUCAGGAGGAACACCUGAGGCGAAGGCGGCAUUCUGGCCCUUCACUGACGCUGAGAUGCGAGAGCGUGGGUAGCAAACAGG
rnacentral:rRNA from 1 species